UCGUUUACUAGAAAAUAGUUGUCCUACUUGGAUAACUGUGGCAAUUCUAGAGCUAAUACAUGCGAAAAAACUCUGACCGCAAGGAACGAGUGCAUUUAUUAGAAUAAAAACCAAUCGGGUGUAAAAAGCCCGUGAUUUGGUGAAUCUGAAUAACUUUGCCGAUCGCACGGUCCUAGUACCGGCGACGUAUCUUUCAAGUGUCUGCCUUAUCAACUUUCGAUGGUAGGUUAUACGCCUACCAUGGUAGUAACGGGUAACGGAGAAUAAGGGUUCGACUCCGGAGAGGGAGCCUGAGAAACGGCUACCACAUCCAAGGAAGGCAGCAGGCGCGCAAAUUACCCACUUCCAGAACGGAGAGGUAGUGACGAAAAAUAACGAGACAGUCCUCUUCGAGGUCUGUCAUCGGAAUGGGUACAAUUUAAAUCCUUUAACGAGGAUCUAUUGGAGGGCAAGUCUGGUGCCAGCAGCCGCGGUAAUUCCAGCUCCAAUAGCGUAUAUUAAAGUUGUUGCGGUUAAAACGCUCGUAGUUGGAUCUGCGGUUUUCGGAGAACGGUCCCCCGAAAGGGUGGUCACUGUUACUCCAAGCCUAAAUAUUCAGUCCGUUCUACGGUGCUCUUAACCGAGUGCCUAGAUCGACUGGAACGUUUACUUUGAAAAAUUAGAGUGCUCAAAGCAGGCGGAAUAGCCUGAAUAAGGUGCAUGGAAUAAUGGAAUAGGACCUCGGUUCUAUUUUGUUGGUUUCGGAAUCUGAGGUAAUGAUUAAGAGGAACAGACGGGGGCAUUCGUAUUCCGGCGCUAGAGGUGAAAUUCUUGGACCGCCGGAAGACGGACGACUGCGAAAGCAUUUGCCAAGAAUGUUUUCAUUAAUCAAGAACGAAAGUUAGAGGUUCGAAGGCGAUCAGAUACCGCCCUAGUUCUAACCGUAAACGAUGACAACCAGCGAUUAGUCGGCGUUAAUAUAAGACCCGACUAGCAGCUUCCGGGAAACCAAAGUUUUUCGUUUCCGGGGGAAGUAUGGUUGCAAAGCU
rnacentral:rRNA from 1 species